UACGUAGGGGGCAAGCGUUGUCCGGAAUCAUUGGGCGUAAAGCGCGUGUAGGCGGCUCGGUAAGUCCGCUCUGAAAGUCCAGGGGCUCAACCCUGGGAUGCGGGUGGAUACUGCCGGGCUCGAGUCCGGAAGAGGCGAGUGGAAUUCCCGGUGUAGCGGUGAAAUGCGUAGAUAUCGAGAGGAACACCAAUUGCGAAGGCAGCUCGCUGGGACGUAACUGACGCUGAGACGCGAAAGCUAGGGGAGCGAACAGG
rnacentral:rRNA from 1 species